rnacentral:miRNA from 1 species
ACUGGCAUUAGUGGGACUUUUUUUUUUUUUUUUUAAAUGUUAAAAGUCCCACUAAUGCCAGC